UACGUCGGUGGCAAGCGUUGUCCGGAUUUACUGGGCGUAAAGAGCGCGCAGGCGGUCGUUCAAGUCGCGUGUGAAAGCCCCCGGCUCAACUGGGGAGGGUCACGCGAUACUGAUCGACUCGAAGGCAGGAGAGGGUAGUGGAAUUCCCGGUGCAGUGGUGAAAUGCGUAGAUAUCGGGAGGAACACCAGUGGCGAAGGCGACUACCUGGCCUGUUCUUGACGCUGAGGCGCGAAAGCUAGGGGAGCAAACGGG
rnacentral:rRNA from 1 species